rnacentral:rRNA from 1 species
UCGAGAAUCUUUGUCAAUGGGCGAAAGCCUGAACAAGCGAUGCCGCGUGCGGGAUGAAGGCCUUCGGGUUGUAAACCGCUGUCAGAGGUUAGGAAAUGCUGGGAGGUUAUCCUUUCAGUUUGACCGAUCCUCAGAGGAAGGACGGGCUAAGUUCGUGCCAGCAGCCGCGGUAAGACGAACCGUCCAAACGUUAUUCGGUAUCACUGGGCUUAAAGCGUGCGUAGGCGGCGCGGUAGGUCAGAUGUGAAAUCCCACGGCCCAACCGUGGAAUUGCGUUUGAAACCACCGUGCUCGAGGAAGAUAGGGGUGAUCGGAACUUAUGGUGGAGCGGUGAAAUGCGUUGAUAUCAUAGGGAACACCGGUGGCGAAAGCGGAUCACUGGAUCUUUUCUGACGCUGAGGCACGAAAGCUAGGGUAGCGAACGGGAUUAGAUACCCCCGUAGUCC